UGCAGCACUGUGAGUGGGAGUGACCAGAAUCCCGAGCUGACCAGAGCCAGUGUGGACAGCAGACUUGGGAGGUGUAGACCGUGGCUGAUUUCUUUGGCGAACUAGGCAGUUUCUCGGACCUAGGCUUUCUUCCUUUUCUCAACAUCCAAUUUAUCUACAUACUACUUUUGGAAAUAGACUGUAUUCCAGGUACUCUCCUAAAGGCUGAACUACAGUGUUAACAGAACCAUAAAGAAUUCCUGUCCUCACUGGGUUUAUAUUCUACCGGAAGAGGUCAAUAAUAAACAAGAUACCUUAGUAAAAUAUAUAGUAGUAGAUACUGUAUUUGGAGAAAAAAAUAAAAAGAUGGAAUGGAGAUACAAAAAUCCAAGCAGAGGUGGAGGAUAAAAUUUGAGAUUUGGGCCUAAAAAAACCCCACUUAUUGGACCAAGUGACGUUGGAGUAAAGACCUAAAAUGAAGUGCGGGGCUGGCCGUGUGGCAGUUGGGGAAAGAACAUUCUGUGCAGAGAGAAAAGCAAGAGCAAAGGUCCUGAAGCAGGACUGUGCGUGGCAUGUGUGAGAGGUGUGGCCAGAACAGAGUUAAUGGAAGGAGCUGAGGUCACAGAGGAAACGGGAAGUCAGGUCAUACUAGGCUCUCUGGUCAAUGUGAGGACUUGGGAUGUUACCUGAGGGGCACAGGAAGUGUUGGAGCAUUUUCAGCAGGAUCACUCAGACUGCUAUGUUGAAAAUACAGCUUGAGGAACCAAGAACGGAAACGGAGAACAUAAUUGGGAACCUAACGCAAUAUUACAGUCAAGAGAGAAUGGCAGCUUGGACCAAGUCUUGCUUUCCUAAUGGCUAAGAGAUGGCGAUCUGGGAAUUCUGCUUUAUUCUGUGAGAAGCUUCACCCCAGAAGACAUUUCUUGGAGACUCCCCAUGUAAAGAAGCAAGAGAUGUAAGACACAAGGACCUCUGACCACAUCCCGUCCAUGUCCAGCUUUGCUGCACCAAGAGAGCGAUGUCCACUGGGUCAAUGAGGAGGAUUGCUUUGUGGUUUCUUUGUCCCCAACAAAUCAUGUGUGACUAGCAGGAGAUUUGUUUGACAUCUCUUUUCACAUAAGCAGAAGUGCCAUGAUGGUCAAGUCGAAGUUACCAACAGAUGUCACUGAACACAAAGUUGGGAAGAGAUUGAGCAGGAACAUUCCAUUCUGCCAUUCGGAGAUCAUAGGUUAGAAGACAUCAAGACACAGAUAAGAGUAAAUCAACCUGCGCCGGUAUGUGAUGACAGGGACCGCACGAGGUGGACGGAGCCUGGAUCCCUGAGUCACUGGCUGGGGGAGGACCCGACCAGCCUGCACCAUGCUCUUCAGACUUCCGCCGUGUCGCACCUCUGAGCUUUAGGGGUUUACCUACUAAGGCGUAAGUGUUAUUUAUCCUGAUUAAUGAAUGUUUGUUGAACUAAUAAAUGAGUAUUCUCUUUGA